UACGUAGGGGGCAAGCGUUGUCCGGAAUCAUUGGGCGUAAAGCGCGCGUAGGCGGCCCGGUAAGUCCGCUGUAAAAGUCCAGGGCUCAACCUGGGAACCGCGCUUGAGACUGGCACGCUCGAGUUCGGGAGAGGAUGGUGGAAUUCCCAGUGUAGAGGUGAAAUUCGUAGAUAUUGGGAAGAACACCGAUGGCGAAGGCAGCCAUCUGGACCGACACUGACGCUGAGGCGCGAAAGCGUGGGGAGCAAACAGG
rnacentral:rRNA from 1 species